rnacentral:rRNA from 1 species
AGUCGAGCGAGAAGCGUUGGUUCCGUAAGGUUCCGACGUGGAAAGCGGUGAACGGGUGCGUAACACGUGAGAAACCUGCCCCCCAGACCGGGAUAGCCCAGGGAAACUUGGAUUAAUACCGGAUACUCUCUUUGGAUCGCAUGAUCCGUUGAGGAAAUGGUCCGCUGCUGGGGGAUGGUCUCGCGGCCUAUCAGGUAGUUGGUGAGGUAACGGCUCACCAAGCCGAAGACGGGUAGCUGGUCUGAGAGGACGAUCAGCCACACUGGAACUGAGACACGGUCCAGACUCCUACGGGAGGCAGCAGCAGGGAAUAUUGCACAAUGGGCGAAAGCCUGAUGCAGCGACACCGCGUGCGGGAUGAAGGCCUUCGGGUUGUAAACCGCUUUCAGGAGGGAAGAAAAUGACGGUACCUCCAGAAGAAGGCCCGGCCAACUACGUGCCAGCAGCCGCGGUAAUACGUAGGGGCCAAACGUUGUCCGGAAUUAUUGGGCGUAAAGGGCCCGUAGGCGGUUCAGCAAGUCGGUCGUGAAAGCCCGGGGCUCAACUCCGGGAUGCCGGUCGAAACUGUUGUGACUUGAGUUCGGUAGAGGUGAGUGGAAUUCUCAGUGUAGCGGUGGAAUGCGCAGAUAUUGAGAGGAACACCAUUAGCGAAGGCGGCUCACUGGGCCGAUACUGACGCUGAGGAGCGAAAGCGUGGGGAGCAAACAGGAUUAGAUACCCUGGUAGUCCACGCCGUAAACGAUGAACACUAGGUGUAGCGGAUUUAUUCAUGUCUGCUGUGCCGUAGCUAACGCAUUAAGUGUUCCGCCUGGGGAGUACGGCCGCAAGGCUAAAACUCAAAGGAAUUGACGGGGCCCCGCACAAGCGGCGGAGCAUGCGGCUUAAUUCGAUGCAACCCGAAGAACCUUACCUGGGUUUGACAUCAUGGGUCUAGCUGUGGAAACACAGUGUGCUUACGCGCCCAUGACAGGUGGUGCAUGGCUGUCGUC